rnacentral:rRNA from 1 species
GAUCCUGGCUCAGACGAACGCUGGCGGCAUGGAUUAGGCAUGCAAGUCGAACGAAGCAGCAAUGCUUAGUGGCGCAAGGGUGAGGACACGUGAGUGACCUGCCCGCAAGUUUGGAACAGCUCCUGGAAACGGGAAUUAAUACCGGAUGUGAUCAUAGAGCUGCAUGGUUUUAUGAUUAAAGCAGUAAUGCGCUUGCGGAUGGGCUCGCGUCCCAUUAGCUAGUUGGUGAGGUAACGGCCCACCAAGGCCAUGAUGGGUAGCUGGUCUGAGAGGACGACCAGCCACACUGGGACUGAGAACUGCCCAGACUCCUACGGGAGGCUGCAGUCGAGAAUUUUGGGCAAUGGACGAAAGUCUGAACCCCCAGCAAUGCCGCGUGCGGGAUGAAGGUCUUCGGAUUGUAAACCGCUGUUUGGAGGGACGAAAAUUGACGGUACUUCCAGAGAAAGCCACGGCUAACUACGUGCCAGCCGCAGC